UACGUAGGUGCGAGCGUUGCCCGGAUUUAUUGGGCGUAAAGGGCGCGUAGGCGGCCACGCACGUCCGUUGUGAAAUCGCCCGGCUCAACUGGGCGGGGUCAGCGGAUACGGUGUGGCUCGAGCAAGCUAGGGGGCAAUGGAACUCCCGGUGUAGUGGUGGAAUGCGUAGAUAUCGGGAAGAACACCAGUGGCGAAGGCGGUUGCCUGGAGCUUUGCUGACGCUGAUGCGCGAAAGCGUGGGGAGCGAGUCCGG
rnacentral:rRNA from 1 species